GUCUCAAAAAGUACCCGUCGAUCGUCUCCGACUUCCCUUCAGAUUAUAAUUUUGAGGAUCUAUAUUCAAGCUGUCUUCAUUUAAGCUGCCUAAUGGCGGGUGAGAGAAAUUUUCUAGUGAAGAAAAAGGAGAGCGUGCCAGAAUGGCAUCAUUUGUUGGUGCAAUGGCAAUUGCUGACUUGGUCAAGACAACGUUAGGACCAAAAGGGAUGGACAAAAUUUUGCAGUCAACAGGCAGAGGACGUGAAGUUACUGUUACAAAUGAUGGGGC
rnacentral:misc_RNA from 1 species